rnacentral:rRNA from 1 species
CCAAUAGCGUAUAUUAAAGUUGUUGCAGUUAAAAAGCUCGUAGUUGAAUUUCGGGAUCAAGGAAUCGGUCAUGCCUCGGUAUGUACUGGUUUUAUUGGUUCUCACCUUCUAAAGAACCAUGUUGUCAUUCAUUUGAUGUUAUGGGGAAUUAGGACUGUUACCUUGAAAAAAUUAGAGUGUUUAAAGCAAGCUUACGCUUGAAUACAUUAGCCUGGAAUAAUGAAAUAGGACAUCAGAUUCUAUUUUGUUGGUUUCUAGGAUCGAUGUAAUGAUUAAUAGGGAUAGUUGGAGGCAUUAGUAUUCAAUUGUCAGAGGUGAAAUUCUUGGAUUUAUUGAGGACUAACUACUGCGAAAGCAUUUGCCAAGGAUGUUUUCAUUAAUCAAGAACGAAAGUUAGGGGAUCGAAGACGAUCAGAUACCGUCGUAGUCUUAACCAUAAACUAUGCCGACUAGGGAUCGGAUGAUGUUUAUUUUUUAGUGACUCAUUCGGCACCUUACG